CAGGAUGCUGGUCCAGGGGCAGAAUGCUGGAUCAGGGGCAGGAUGCUGGUCCACAUUCCGGUCAGAGUUUGUGACAGAAUCUUCUGGAAGUGGAUCCACGUGAUGAAGCAUCUUCUUGUGAUCUUCAGGAACCAGCUGUGCAAGAUGAACCCUUAUUAUCGUUUAACAUGACAUGUUCUUGUGAGCGGACGGAGGACAGAGUUAGAGGCCUGGGGGGUUCAAUUAUUUGAUCAUCCAGUCUUUUUCCCCCUGUGUCCGCUACUUGCCAUUCUUCAAGGGUUUGGCAUUAGAGCUGGAGUUGGUCAACGAGUCUCUGCCUUUGUCCUUGAGCAUGACAGCAUCCGCAUCUCUCUCCUUGUCGCGGCUGUUCUGGCUGUUCUGUCGGCUCUUCCUGCUCGACGAGUCGUUCCCCGUGCCCUCGAACAAGCGGGCCAUGAACUCCAGCCCCUCCCGACGGAUGUACGACUUUCCUGCGAAGAAGUAGAGCACCGGGUUGACGGAGCUGCUGAUGAAGGCGAUGGAGGAGGUGACUGCACGGCUGAUUUUCCAGAUUUUAUCCAGCCUGGUGGGUGGAGAAGUGAGCAGAGAGUUUAGUACUUAAUAGUUUUAACAUUAUGGAAAAGUAUGUUUAUUCACUUGCUAGGACUUGAUGGAAAUAUUGAGACCACUCUUGUUUCUCUACAUUUACGCCAGGAGGUGAUUAGCUUAACUUCGCAAAACUAGCUAGCCUGCCUCUUUCUAAGGUUACCAGGAAACACACCAACACUGGUCAAGUAAAAUAGACAGUUACUAUUUCUGUCUAACCCAAGGACACUUCGGCAUCCGGAUUGUGUCGGAAUCGAACUGCCAACCUUCUGAUGACGGACAACAGCCACAAGCACCCUCACACAGAGCUCGUUGUGCUGUGGAGAGGAGGUCACAGUUGCUAGCUAGGAUAACGAUAGCACAUUUGACUCAACGCAAUUCCCCGUGAAGCCCUGUGUUGCUUUUAUACGACUUUAAAAACAGACAUUAACUACUGAGCUUUACAGGUGACUGCACAACACUCAUCAUUCGAGGGGUUUCCAACUGCGUCCAGUAUGCUAAGCUAACACAGUUUGACUUAUGAAAUAAUGAACUUUAAUUGUUUGUAUGAUCACUUACGUGUCUCUUACUUGACCUUUUGGCCACAAAGCCGAUGUGAUCUGGGAGAAACACAACAUUUGUUUGAUUAGUAACAUUAAAAGUUGUGUUUUCAACUUGUCAAACCUUCAUUGACAACAGAAUACAUUUCAAGACUCCAUGUUCUCAAUGUUCUUCACGUGCGGAGACAUGUUUUAUGUAGAAGCACGACGCAGGGACGUACUUGCACCAUGUUGAUGAUGUGGUAUGGCAGCCACAGGAGACAGAACACCAGCACGAUGGCGAGGAUGAGCUUCUCACUGCGAAUCCGACGGCGGAACUUGGACUGUCGGAUUCGGCGUAAGAUGCAGAUGUAGCUGACUAAAAUGACGCCAUAUGGAAUAAAGCAGCCCAACACCAGCUCCAGCAUGUACUGCAGGACCGUCUGUGGAGGGGGGACAGGAUUUAGGAGACUGGGCCACCUCAGUGAACAGAAGAGAGGAUUCUGAGGAUCUUCUUCACUCACAUCACUGUUUUUAUCGUGGAAGGAGUCGCACACCAUCGGCUUUCCACGGGCCUCUCUGAAGAUGAUCGCAGGAAUCGAGGCGACCAUCACCAGCACCCACAUCACAGCUAGCACCCGCAUGGUGGUCCUCAGGCCGGUGACCGGGCUGAUGCGCAGCGGCCACAGGAUAGCCACCAGCCGGUAGAGGCUCAUCAGCAUGAUGAUGUAGAUGGAGGCGUACAUGUUGACCAGACACAAGUAGAAGAGGAUCUUGCACAUCGCUGUCUUAAACACCCAUUUCUUCAUAGACAGGUAGACGAUGAAGAACGGGGUGAGGGCCAUCAGAGAGCCGUCUGCGAUGGCCAGGUUGAGGAUGAGGAGCGUGGUGAUGGACUGCUUCCGAGCGCGAGCCAGGAUGCUCCAGAUGACAAAGACGUUCCCGGGGAAGCCCAAGAGGAAGACCAGGCUCAGGAUGACGGCGCCCACGUUGGUGGGGUGAGUGCUACCCACGAUG